UGUUGUAUUUUGUCAAAAGCAGUUAUUUCCCGUUGUAUUUUGUCAAAAGCAGUUAUUUCCAUACAUUCCAGAACAAACUAUUUACAAGCCCCUAUUGUUUUUUAUUCUAACAAUUUUAAUUGAUGAAAUUCUCUUAAGCUAUGUAUAGAUUUUACCAGAUAAUUUUAUUAUAAAAGCACUUCAAAAUGUAUUUUUGUGUUCAUAAUGUAAAUAAAUUCAUUAAAACUAGAAAAUACAAUUUGGGCGCAUACCUAUAUUUUUUUUAUUACUUGCAAUUUUUAUAUAAAAUGGAAAUGCUGCUCAAGGGAGUGAACUCUAUAUGGAAAUAACUUGAACAGGAAAUUGUUUUUGUGUCUUGAUUUUCAACUGUAGAAACUUUUUACUGGUAACCUAAUAUUAAAAACCUAUUCUUCAUAUGAUUUCUAUUUAAAUUGAAUCUAGUAUACUUGAAUACAUCGCACAUUCUCCAUGCCUGUAUAUGUAUAUAUUACAUUUCAUCUUUUAUGCAAUAAAUUGCAAAACGUCAAUUUUAUUUAUCAUACAACAUUUUAUUUCUCAGUGUAUAAUUGAAUGUUCUGACAUUGAUAUAAUGUUGUUCUUAUUUAUUUUCAGUUCAACUAUUAUUAAUAAUGGCAAUGCUAAUAGAAAAUAAAAUUGAUCUUGUUUUGAUAGGUGAAACUUUUUUUUCCAAUGGUGCUUAGGUUUUAAAACUGGGUACUAAUUUAUCAACAGUAAACAGUAAUUUUCUGUACGGUGGUUUAUUUCAUAAAUAUGUUACUGAAAGACACAAAUGUGGACGUAUGAGGAAAACAUUAUUUGCAUUAUAAUCAUAAAAACAAAACAUGUGGCUUUGCCACUUGUUUACCUCUUCCUCUCUAAAAGAAUAAUUUGGUGUGGAGAGAAUUUUAUGGCUGUUGAGUGUGAGCAAAUUAGCUUAAUUUUUUCAAAAUGACAUAUCUAAUGUAAUGAAAUAAACUUUCAAUAUAUAUAUAUGUACACAUAUACAGGAUAAUUCCAAGUUAAUCCUUACAUAGUUAAACUAUUACAUAAAUGAAGGUAUUUUAAACAUUUUCACCCAAAUAAAAAAAAAAGUUUUUU